CAGAAGGGGUCUGAGCAGGGGCUCCAUCGCAUGCAAAAUUCCAAAGAGUAAUCCGGCCUUUAGGUUUCUGAGGUUAUGUCUUCCUUAACCUUAGGAUGUGGGCUCACUGGGAUGAGAUGUUCUGAUGGACCCAAACGCCACACCAUCACCAAGCUGAGAUUAGAAAGACAAGACUCCACAUCCUCUACGCCAGAGGACUCUUGACGCAGGACCACACAUCCCUCCCAUCACCGUGGUCCCAGGUGGUGUAGGCUUAAACUCUGAGCUGCUGCUCAAUGGACGAACAGCGUUCUAACAGUCCAACAGGAAGCAGCAUGACUCUCAACGCACCGUGGAGAACCCCAGCCCCACCCACUGAGGCGGGACGGCAGGUACCUGAGAGAUUGCCGAUGUUUCUGCCGCCAGCCCUGACUCUGCAGAUGGCUGCCGUUCCGCUUUCUCUGAGCUGUUCGUUGAGUUUUCCAUCGAAGACUGGGAGUUUUGCUCGUCAGAAGCAUCUGAGCGAGAAGCAAGACAACAGAAGCUGUUUUCAGACACAUGAGAAGCUGCAGCAGAUGGGCCAGAUUGCUCCCUCAUGUGCCUACGGACUUCCUAUCUCUCUAAAUGGUGACGUCACAGACAUCUGCCUAUCUUUACAAAUCCUCUACACACGAGAGUUUACAACCUGGCUGAACAGCAUCAUGUGAAGCAAUUGUUUAUCUGACGAUACUAAUCGCUUGGGUUACUUGUAUGGCCUCAGUUUUCCCUCUUGCCCUUCCUCAAGAACUUACAUAUGACUGGGUUUUUUUUCUCCCCUCUGUGUAGCCCUAACUAGCCUGGAACUUGCUCUAUAGAUCAGGCUGUCCUUGAACUCAGAGAUCCACCUGUCUCUGCCUCCAGAGUGUUGGGAUUAAAGGUAAUUGCCACCCCCACCUGUCAAGACCCAGCAAUUUUACUUUCUGGUCCAGAGACCAGAAUCUUGAAUACAAAUGCCACACUGUUCACAAUGGUGAAUUCAGCAGUGGGAACAGCCAGAUAGUAUUAUAAUAGAUAUUACCCAGUCAUAAAAAGGAACAAAGGAGUGUCAGGGAGAUGGCUCAGGGGUGACAGUACAGCCAUGAAAGCCUAAAAACCAGAUUUGUUCCCUAGGGGAAAAAACCCAUGUGAGCCACAAAAGCCAAAAACCCCAAAUUUGUUCCCUAGAACCCGUGUGAAAAUCAGGACGGGGUAGCACACGACUGUAAUCCCAGCACUCGUGAGAUGGGAGGUGAAGACAGGAGACUGGCUAGAAACUUAGGGGCCAGCCACCCUGGAGGAUACAGCACAGCAGCGGAAACAGGGCAGAACCUGUCUUGACAAGGUUCUUGAAGCCAAGACACAUGAUGUUCUUUAUGUGAAAUGCCUACAACAGGUCAGCGCUCCAGCACGCACACGCGUAAGCACGCACGCACGCACACACGCAUGCAGCGGACUGGUCAUUAUAAGGAAAUGGUGAAGGAAGGCAGAGAGGGACUGUACAGUGUGGGCAGUAUUUUUUAUGGACUGAGGAAAAUGUUCUGGAACUACACAGAAAUGACAGAAUAUCCUAGAUACCAGUCAAGAGCACUGGCUGCUCUUGCAGAGGACCUGGGUUUGGUUCCCAGGGGCCACAGGGUGGCUCAAAAUCAUCCGAAAUGUCACUUCCAGGGGAUCUAACACCUUCUCCUGGCCUUUGAGGCAUACACAUGGCGCACAUAUGUGGCUAAGGCAAACACUUAUACACAUAGCAUUUUUUAAGAAGAGAAAUGUUAGGGGUUGGGGAUUUAGCUCAGUGGUAGAGCGCUUGCCUAGGAAGCGCAAGGCCCUGGGUUCGGUCCCCAGCUCCGAAAAAAAGAACAAAAAAAAAAAAAAAAAAAAAAAGAAGAGAAAUGUUAGAGGGCCAGGUACGGCGGCACGCUUUCAAUUCUAGCACUCAGGAGGCAGAAGCAGGAGGAUCUCAGAGAGUUUCAGGCCAGUAGGGUUACAUAGUAAUAUAGUAAUUCCCUUCCUUAAAGAAAAUGGAGGGGCGGGGGUGGGGUGGGACAAAAAAAAAAAAGUUGGACAUGGAAGCACUUGGGACAUAGACAUCAGAAGUUCAAGACCAGCCUUUGCUGCUGCUACAUGAUACUCUGCUUGCAAAGCAGAAAAGAAGGAAGGGGGUGGGCGUGGGGGCCCAUGUAACUUUGUAUUCUAUUUCAUAGUGCAUUUGUUUGCUUUAACUAACAGUUCAACUAAAAAGUCUGCUUCAUUGGUGUCUGCCUCUGCGGGCAGUUUCAGUUUGUUUCCCACACGCACUGGGCACGCACGGGAGGGUUUACCGCUCUCGGGCAGUCAGUCACCAGAGAUUUGGAGAAUCACGAUGCCCGUUUGCUGGCAGAGGCAUGCCCAGGCUCGAGGCUUCCUUG
ensembl:lncRNA